rnacentral:siRNA from 2 species
UAGGAAUGAAUCUUCGAUAGAA